UACGGAGGGUGCAAGCGUUAUCCGGAAUCACUGGGUUUAAAGGGUGCGUAGGCGGUUGAAUAAGUCAGUAGUGAAAGCUCACAGCUUAACUGUGGAAUUGCUAUUGAAACUGUUCAGCUAGAAUUAGGGAGAAGUAGGCGGAAUGUGACAUGUAGCGGUGAAAUGCAUAGAUAUGUCAUAGAACACCAAAUGCGAAGGCAGCUUACUAUACCUAUAUUGACGCUGAGGCACGAAAGCGUGGGGAGCGAACAGG
rnacentral:rRNA from 1 species